UCCUUUCACUCGGCUGCAUUCGGCUCAUACCGGAAUAACGAGUCGGACAACACGGCCGGCCUUUGGGUUAGCAACAAGACUUUGGGUUGCUUCUGUGUAGAUUUGACCAUUUUACACACAUUCAUUCAGUUAUAUAUGCAGUGUUAACAUCAAUCUAUCUAUCAAUCAAUCAAUCAAUCAACAUUUAUUUAUUUCUAGCGGUUUACAGCAUCCAACAGGUAUGCAAAGUGCUUUACAACAAGGACUAAAACAACAUAACAUACGAUAAAAAGAAUAGAAUACAUAGAAUACAGUAAAAUCUGAAAAGGUUGCAUACAAACAGGAGGAAGAAAGGGACAAAUGUCACAGCGCUACUAUGUAUUAAAAGCCAUUCUAAAUGAAUACGAUUACGUAAUAAAUAACAUAAUUUUAGUUAGAGGAGUUCAACCUUUUGAGAAAAUAUGCUUAUUUCUUUUCUUUCUCAGCGUUAGAGGAAACGAUUGAUCUCAAACUCAUGUCUGUAUCGAUAGUUUGGAUCUUUGAAAGUGGGGUUGAAUGAGCUACUUCUCCAUAGUCAGUGUAUUAGCUGGGGGGGGGCACCUAAAAAAAAUCUAUAUCCGUUUAAGUGGACGCUAUAUUAAGAAAAUUUUCAAGGCUUUACCUGUGGAGCCUUUAUGUUCAGCUCUUUACAAAGCCACCAGACUCCUUUAACAGAAUUGGUCAGUUUACCUCGCAGAACACUGGAUUUGCUGGUCUACCGCUGCCUCCAUCGCUUCAUUUGUUUGUUAAUUCUGUUAGUUCCUUAACCGUUUUUAAAACACCAAAGUCACACUAUAACAAAAAUAAAACUAAUGAGGCAGCAGUAGAGCAGCAGCUCCUGUGUUCUGCGAGGUAAAAUGUCAAAGGAGUCUGGUGGCUUUGAAGAGAGCAGCGAUAACAACUUCACUUCCCCGUCUGACAGCAAGGUAAAGCAGUGAGAAUAUUCUAAAUGUAGCGCCCACUUAAACUGAUAUUGAUUUUUAUUAGGUGGUCCUUUCUUUCACGUGUCUAAAAUACAUUUAGCUGCUGCCUCCCCCCCGCCCCCGUCCACAGCAGCACAUUGCUUAGUUUCCGUGUCAGGAAUCCGGUCUGCUUCUCCAAACUGUCCUCUACUGUAGCUAAUACACGGACUAUGGAGAAGUAGCUCAUACAACCCCACUUCAAAAGAUCCAAACUAUCCCUACAAGAUCAUAGCUGGGGUCAGAAGGUGGUGAGCCUAGCUUAGCAUAAAGAUUGAAAGCAGUGGGGAAACAGCUAGCCUGGUACUAGCAAAGUUCUAAAACUCUGCCUAUCAACAUCUCUCAUUAAUCAAUAUGUUAUAUCUCGUUUGCUUAAUCUGUACACAAACAGAAAUGUAAAAUCUUUUUUUUUUAUGUGAGGGGGUAGUGAUGUGCUGGAACUACUUCUUGACAAACAACAGGUUAUCCAUCCGCUCAGCCCCUCAGUACAGUGUGUCCAGCUGUAGCGCGGGUUGCCAGAUAUGGUUAUUGAGCCCAGACUUUUUUUUCUUUUGCUGAGAAAUAAAGAUGAGUGGUGGUGGGGUAAGUGAGUAACAUAGUGUAACUAUUUCCUAGCGCAGAUCGCGCACCCACAGCAGGGACUGUUUGCAGGUCCCCAAAGUCUGGUCGUUUGGUACCAUGGUGCCUUUACAGAACAUAAACCCGUGACACCAACUGUUAUCUUGGCAACCUGUGCUAUAGCUGCACAGAAGUGCUGGGCAGAUGGAUAAACUGUUGUUAAUCAAGAAAUAGUUCUGUGGCCGGUUGGCUCGGUUGGUAGAGCAGGCGCACAUAUGCGGAGGCAUUUCUAUUCCUUGACGCAGAAGGUCCAGGGUUUGAGUCCAACCUGUGACGGUUUCCAUGCAUGUCUUCCCCCCCUCUCUCUCUCUCUCUCCCCUUUCAUAUCUCAGCUUUCCUAUCGAAUAAAGGCGCAAAUGCCCCCCUCCCAAAAAAUAGUUCGAACAUGUAACUUCCCCUUACAUCACAAAUUGUCAUUUUUACAUUUCUGUUUAUGUUUGGUUCAACAAAUUCGACACAAUGUGUUAAUCAGUGAGCUUUAGACUUGUGGUUAUGUUAUUUUUGUUAUGUUUUUUUUUUUGCGACAGAGCCGGGCCAGCAGUUUCUCUGCUUUCAGUCUUUAUGCUAAGCUAGGCUAACCCCAUUCUGACUGCAGCACUUUAACACACAGACAUGAUACUGAUCUUCUCCAUCUCCCUUACAGAAAGAAAGCAACUGAGCAUAUGUCCCAAUGUGUUUACUAACCCAACGUGGAUGCAGGACGUAUUUCAUUACUUUCCCCGCAAACCAAACAUAGGCGUCAACCACAAACCAAAUCCACAUCUGGAACACCUCUGUUCUGUACAGUGUGGAGUCAAUCUGUUUGAUUUUCAAAAAACUUUAGCACUUUAGUACCAAAGAUUUGACACAACCCAUCACAGAUAGUGUGGGUUUACACUUUUGAAGGAUACAUUUUAGUUUUUGUUCCAAGUCAAUCUUACGUUAAAACAUUAUGCCCAUAUGUACAUUGAGUCAUCGGUCGCUGUAAUCCUUCCUCCUCUCCUUCCCAACAGAUCCCAAUCUAGAUCUAAUACAAUGAAAGUGGACAAAAGCCACAGUCCACUUCUUUUGUUGAAUGCAGACUGCUGAAGCCUGAUAUUCACUUUGAAUGCAAUUUUGCUUCAAAUAACUGGAUUUUGACCCCUAUUUAGGGCUGGGCAAUAUAUUUAUUAAAUCCUGAUAUGAGACUGGCUAACUUGUUAGAUUUUAGAUAUCCUAAUAUGUCAUAGAUGUUGUCUUUUACUGGUUUUAAAGGCUGCAUUACAGUAAAGUGAUGUCAUUUUCUGAACUUACCAGACUAUUGUAGCUGUAGGGCUGAGUAUCGUUCAAAAGUUUACCGGUACCGAUACCUGGAAUUUGAUAACGGUUUCUGAACGCUACUUUUUUUUUCUAUACCAAUUUCAAAAAAAAAAUCCACUUCAACAAAAAUAAUUACAUUUUACGUUACGCUCCUUUACAACUAUGUGACGCCCACUGUAGUCAAGCCUCUCAGAAUACAAUAACACUCAGGUGAGCUUAUUCUCCUGCCUGCCUCCUUGACGUGUAACAUUAAACAGCCAAUCAGCAGCAUUAUUAUAUCUUGGUACAAGCAUGCUGCAUGCUUAUUGGCUUACUGGCGCUGAUGAGAUUUACUCCUUAUGCAUUACAAUUUGGUAUUGAUUGACGAAGCAUUUUUUGAUACUCUAUUAUUUGUCUUUAUCCACAUUAUUUAUUUAAAAUAUCUGUCGCAGUAUCGACAUUGAGGCAUUCGGUCAAAAAUAUAUUUGAUUUUUCGCCACAUCGCCCAGGCCUACCCGCAUGUCUUACAUUGGAUUUGCCCUAGGAAGGGAUGUCCUCAUGACCAGUAUGGAUUCCAGCAACUUGUCCCUCUUUCAACGUACACGUGGGCUUGUUGUACAUAGUCAUAGACUUGAGAAAUCGGAAACUGUCCUCAAAGCUGUAGCACCACACUCUUCUCAAGUAGCUCAUAAAUGCUGCAGUCAAACAGUAUUUCCACACAAGAAAUGUUAUUAGCUACCAUACUCGCAUUAUCAGACCUUCCUCCUCAGCGCAGUCCACACAGCAUUCCGGGAUGGGAGAAAAACGUGCUCUGGUUUAUUGGCAUUUCUUUAAACCAAUCACAAUCGUCUUGGGCUAUGCGCCAGAUGGAGCCACGGAGCCUCUGCUAAAUAAAUCGGGAAGGAACUUGUUUUGGUGGAACAUGUGUACGUUCAAAAGUAGUUUUAGUCGUGCAACAGAAAACUCCGAUUGGACAGAUAGUCUAGCUAGCUGUCUGGAUUUACCCUGCAGAGAUCUGAGGAGCAGUUAACCAUAGUCCUCACAAAUCCACCAGAGGUUAGAACGACAACACAGAGACAGAGGAAGGGGACGGACAUCUGGCAGAAUUUCCCGCAACACCCGAACAAUUGCGGAAGUGGAACGUAGUGGAUAUAGACUAUUUCCCACCUGAUGUGAAUGCAUCAUGAAUACUUGUCCAUUGGCAGGACUCGGCUGGUCUUCCUCCAGUCCAUCUCAUAUAUUACGUAUGGACUGGCAGCAAAAAUAGUCUUGGCCACGCACAGGUUUCAAAACAAGCACCAUUUACUAGCCAAAUGCUGGGAAAAUAUGCAAUUGGUCGGUAGAUUUGCUUCACUCACCAGCCAAAAAAAAACAAUGGUAGUCCAUUGAAUGGCUGGGAAAAUUUAAAUAUUUACUAGCCAUUUGGCUGGUGGAUGAAAAAGUUGAUUUUGAACCCUGGCGCUGCCUUUACUGAAGCUGUAAGAGUUCAUAAUGACUGUCUGGUGUUAGUUGCACUCCUGAGUUGUCCAGCCUGUAUAAUCCAAUAGGGCUACUAGUUAAAGCGUAAGUAGGUCUAACAGUAGAAAUGUCAGUGCUGAGAGGAAAUAUUUAUUUUUUAACUAAUUUAUUUUUGUCACUUUAAUGGGCUACAUUCCUUGUCUGUUGAAAAUGUAAAGGAUGGCCUGCGCUGUUUUCUGUGUCCUUAAUGUCUCAUAGUAAUAACAUUUAAUGUGCUGCUAGUAGAACAGACUCUAAAAUCCCGCAAACUCUAAAUUAUUCUCUGCUCUAUAACUGUCUUAAGAUGCACUGAAUAAAGUGUAGCUUCUUCAUAUUUCA